rnacentral:rRNA from 1 species
UCUGGUGACAAUGGCAAGGAGGUCACACCUGUUCCCAUGCCGAACACAGAAGUUAAGCUCCUUAGCGCCGAUGGUAGUUGGACUGACGUUC